rnacentral:rRNA from 1 species
UACGUAGGGUGCAAGCGUUGUCCGGAAUUAUUGGGCGUAAAGAGCGUGUAGGCGGCCCGACCAGUCCGCUGUGAAAGUCCAGGGCUCAACCCUGGAAUGCCGGUGGAUACUGUCGGGCUAGAGUCCGGAAUGGGCGAGUGGAAUUCCUGGUGUAGCGGUGAAAUGCGCAGAUAUCAUUUGGAACACCAAUGGUGAAAACAGCUCGCUGGGAGUGUGCUGACGCUGAGACACGAAAGCCAGGGGAGCGAACGGG